AUUUGAGUUCCUUUCCUAAUACGAAAAUAUUGAGAUCGGUUUCCGAAGGUCCUCCAUAGCUUAUGAAACUGACACGCACAUAGGAAGUGAAUAUUUCGAUCAUCUUAAAAACUGUAUUGACAUUUCUUGAUUUUUUCUUCAUUGACACUUCAACGUGAAUGGAAUGGAGAACACAAUUAAGCGUCACAUACUAUACCUUUGUUCAUGGAAUUUCCAGACAACCAGACUACUGAUAUCAACAGCUCUUUUAUUCGGUGUAUGCGGUUUCACGUGGUUUGAGGCACAAAAUGAAUGUCGUUUAAUUGGGCAAACUCUUGUCUCAAGACCCCAUACGAACAAUCCUUUCUGGACCAGCCUCCAUCAACGCCGAUCUUUAUGGAUGCAAAAUCUCGGAUGCUACAAAUACUCUGAUCAGGAUCCUGCUCUGAGAGACGGUGCUGUCUUCGAUAUGAAUUAUCAUCCUUCUGCUGGUCUAUGCCAAGAGCUUUGCAUGGAAUAAAACAAAACGUUUUCAUUUGUAUUUGGUAUUAAGGAUCAAAACUGUUUUUGCUUUAAACACAGUACAUCAAUAUUACCUCCCCUGAACAGCUGCAAUAGUCGGUGUAAGGGAACCUGCAGUUCUGGGAAUGGAUCAACUUGUUCCAAAUAUCGCAUAUAUUUGUCAGUUGGAGGACAAAGGAAUGACAGAUUUCCCGCUGCCUAUCCUGGCUGUAUUGUCAUACAGUGCACUGGUGAUACAAGCUACCGGGUUCGACAUUGUUAUUCGAAUUUUGCUACAGCUUGUGAAAUACAAGAUUCCAUCAAUCAAGUUUAUCAUUUAAAUCCGAUAAAAUUCAUUUUGAAAUACAAAUUGAUGCAAAAUCCAUCUAACUACUUUGGAAAAGACGUUGAAACGUUUUUCAAGAAUACCUGUAAAUCAAGCAUUAAAAACAAUUUAGAACCAGUGUGGAUUGCAUUCUCGAGGGAGAAUUACACUCGUUUUGAUAAAGGGGAAAUGUUAUCCGAUGUCGACAAACGAAACACCAUGGUCUGUCUGCUGUGUAAAGAUGGUUGUCGAUUCGGUGAUUGCAAUCUUGAGGUAGACGAAGCAGUGUGUUCGGAGACUAUAGUGACUAAGGAGACUAGCACGAAAACAGCUCUGAAGAUGACAGUCACAAAACCUAGCUUUUCCAACACCGGCGUUAUCUCGAAAACUUCAAAUGAAACAAGAGAAACAAAAACAAGGGAGACGACUCAAGAAGUGUCACGGCUUCCCCGUAAUUAUUCUGACCAUACAUUGUCCUACAUAUUGGAGACAAUGACAUCAACAAACAACGGUAACUAUUUUUACAAGCAUUAGGAAAAAUUGGAUAAUUUUGUAAUAGUAAAAAAUAGUUAGAACACAGUAAUAUCUGAAAUGAAAAAAAAUACAUUUAGGCAAAUUUGCUGCCAUUCAUUAUUUGUUGGUUUUAAUCAGAUGAUGUGAAAAUCCCAAAUUUUAUGCAUAUAUCUUCAGAGAAAACUUGUACUCCAGGAGUACAUAAUCCCAUAAAGUCAUCAUUCGGGGAUCAUCAGUUUUAAUUUGGUUCGCGUGUAUUGAAUUUCGCUCUGAGUUGCAUAUGGCUGACAUGAAAAUAGCUUGCAUAAUUUAAGUCUACUGGUAUAAAAUUACGCGGAACAUGUGUUACAACAGACUUAGCGGAAAUGAGUAUCGUGAGUACAAAGUAAGUUCACAGUAAAUAAAUCGUAAUUGAUGUAUUUCGCUUAUCAAAUGAACCACAAAGACAGCAAAUGCAUUCUACUAUGUCCUACUAUGUUCUUCGGUGUUCUUGAGCUGUGCUCAGUAGUUGCAACGGAUUUUGGUGUGCUUAGGAUUGACAGUCUUCUGCAUAAGGUAUGAAUACAUGCAUUGAAUACAAUGAGAUUGCAAUAUAUUUUACAUCAUCUCAAAUUUAUCAUGGUUUCCACUUCUUAUAUAUUAUAUAGUUACAUAAGUAUGUAUUGAUUCAUUACAUUUCAGUGUGAAGAAAGCUGCGUUGCAAUACGCUUUCCUAUUUUAUGUGUCAAUUACCGUUUUCUAUACCUCUAUUGUACUUAAUGUAUUUUUUAGCAGACGGAAACGAACAUCAGCUAAAACUGAAAGAACAGAAAGACACAAAGCACCAUCAUCCGGACAAAUAAAGCCAAUCCCUAUAAAGGAUUCAAAGAUGGACACGUUAAAAAGUCUAAGAUUAUUCUAAACUUCCGCAUAUUUGCUCGAUGAAAAUGGUACAUUUGAAGAAAAUUGUGCUUAUGACAUGGCAGACAAUAGAAAACUUCAAGAAGAAAGUCCCUAUCUUGAAGGAGAGAGAUAUUAUGACCACCUCAGUGACACGGCUUUUAGAAGACAAAUAAGACGAAAAUAUAUAUAAUCAUCUAACUACUAAAGGACACACCAACAUCUCCAAAUACGACAUGAUGCAGAAACAAAGAAUCACCGAUGCGGUCAAUCAGAUUUUCGAACUGACAAUCACGCGAAUGCUUAUGUAGAAAAAUAUAAAUAUUCGAAACCACAGAACAGGUUUUAUACAUACAGAAUUUGGGUUAAACCAUUAUUCUGACAGUCGCGAAAGGGUGAAAGCUAUUUUGGAAAUUGAACACUUGAAGACAAGAUACACUCAACUAUACUUCUAAGCAACCUUCAUUUUAAUGAGUGUCCUUCGAAACAUUAUUUGAUAUAAUUGACUUGCACACAAAGAAAUAAAUACAUGUCAUAUUGCAAUCUGAUAACUAUAAGAAUUGCAAACUUCUAGUAUGUAACAGGUAGACAGAUUAAAGAUUAAAGAUGGCAAAUGAAUUCAAUAGAUAA